AUUGAACGCUGGCGGCAGGCCUAACACAUGCAAGUCGAACGAGUGGCGGACGGGUGAGUAAUGUCUGGGAAACUGCCCGAUGGAGGGGGAUAACUACUGGAAACGGUAGCUAAUACCGCAUACCAUCGGAUGUGCCCAGAUGGGAUUAGCUAGUAGGUGGGGUAACGGCUCACCUAGGCGACGAUCCCUAGCUGGUCUGAGAGGAUGACCAGCCACACGGGAACGGAGACACGGUCCAGAAUCCUACGGGAUGGAGCAGGGGGGAAUAUUGCACAAUGGGCGCAGGCCUGAUGCAGGCAUGCCGCGUGUAUGAAGAAGGCCUGCGGGUUGUAAAGUACUUUCAGCGUGGAGGCGUUACUCGCAGAAGAAGCACCGGCUAACUCCGUGCCAGCAGCCGCGGUAAUUC
rnacentral:rRNA from 1 species